rnacentral:rRNA from 1 species
UUUAUGGAGAGUUUGAUCCUGGCUCAGGAUGAACGCUGGCGGCGUGCCUAAUACAUGCAAGUCGAGCGAACAGAUAAGGAGCUUGCUCCUUUGACGUUAGCGGCGGACGGGUGAGUAACACGUGGGUAACCUACCUAUAAGACUGGAAUAACUCCGGGAAACCGGGGCUAAUGCCGGAUAACAUGUUGAACCGCAUGGUUCUACAGUGAAAGACGGUCUUGCUGUCACUUAUAGAUGGACCCGCGCCGUAUUAGCUAGUUGGUGGGGUAACGGCCUACCAAGGCGACGAUACGUAGCCGACCUGAGAGGGUGAUCGGCCACACUGGAACUGAGACACGGUCCAGACUCCUACGGGAGGCAGCAGUAGGGAAUCUUCCGCAAUGGGCGAAAGCCUGACGGAGCAACGCCGCGUGAGUGAUGAAGGUCUUCGGAUCGUAAAGCUCUGUUGUUAGGGAAGAACAAAUGUGUAAGUAACUGUGCACAUCUUGACGGUACCUAACCAGAAAGCCACGGCUAACUACGUGCCAGCAGCCGCGGUAAUACGUAGGUGGCAAGCGUUAUCCGGAAUUAUUGGGCGUAAAGCGCGCGUAGGCGGUUUUUUAAGUCUGAUGUGAAAGCCCACGGCUCAACCGUGGAGGGUCAUUGGAAACUGGAAAACUUGAGUGCAGAAGAGGAAAGUGGAAUUCCAUGUGUAGCGGUGAAAUGCGCAGAGAUAUGGAGGAACACCAGUGGCGAAGGCGGCUUUCUGGUCUGCAACUGACGCUGAUGUGCGAAAGCGUGGGGAUCAAACAGGAUUAGAUACCCUGGUA